AACGAUUUUGUAAAAAAAAAAAAAAAAAUAAGCUUGUUGGAUAUAUUUACAAUACAAGAUUACAAGUCAGCUACUUCAAAUGAUUUCAAAUGGAGGAAAUGCUAUUUUAAUUCCUAAACAAAUUUUAUACAAAAUGUAUAAUACCAUGACACAUUUCAAAGAAUUGUUACAUAUUGUUCCAUCUAUAUGAUAAUGUGUCGUCCUUUUCAUUAUCGGUUAAUGGUGCAAUGAUAGUAAGUACUUCUCUGAGACUGGUACCACACCGUUGUGCGACGCAAAUGUUGAGUCAUCACGUCUGGAAAUAUCAUAAUUACAUCGUUCACGUAUAUACAUAUAUUUUCUUCUUGAGCGUAUAUGGUCUACCAGAAUUGCAUCCGAAGAUUGUGACUCGAAAUUUUAAUUAAGCUAUUAAAUUAUCCUGACUCAACGUCAGUGAAUAUUUUGUUAAUGUUUAAUUAAAAUUAUUUUA